AGUGAACGCUGGCGGUAGGCCUAACACAUGCAAGUCGAACGGCAGCACAGUAAGAGCUUGCUCUUACGGGUGGCGAGUGGCGGACGGGUGAGGAAUACAUCGGAAUCUACUUUUUCGUGGGGGAUAACGUAGGGAAACUUACGCUAAUACCGCAUACGACCUACGGGUGAAAGCAGGGGAUCUUCGGACCUUGCGCGAUUGAAUGAGCCGAUGUCGGAUUAGCUAGUUGGCGGGGUAAAGGCCCACCAAGGCGACGAUCCGUAGCUGGUCUGAGAGGAUGAUCAGCCACACUGGAACUGAGACACGGUCCAGACUCCUACGGGAGGCAGCAGUGGGGAAUAUUGGACAAUGGGCGCAAGCCUGAUCCAGCCAUACCGCGUGGGUGAAGAAGGCCCUCGGGUUGUAAAGCCCUUUUGUUGGGAAAGAAAAGCAGCAGGUUAAUACCCCGCUGUUCUGACGGUACCCAAAGAAUAAGCACCGGCUAACUUCGCG
rnacentral:rRNA from 1 species